UUUUUCUUUCUUCUUCUUCUUUCAUGCUUCUUCUUCUGUUCUUUACCUCUAGUGAAUUCUUCUGAGUUUCUGAGGCUGUGAGGACGAGAGAAUUAGGCAGGACAUCAUGGGUUUCUUUUUUGUGGUAGUACUGUGGUUGUUUGAAACCGGGAAGAAGAAGAUGAUGUUGUAAAUCGUGAGAAGAAGAUUAGGGUUUCAGAGAAUUGAUCAUGGAGAACAAGAUCACGAGACUGAGAUUAAGAAAAGAGGAUUAUAAUCAAGAUCAGAUAGUGGUGCUGAUGUUGGUUCAGUUAUGAGAAGAAGAGGAGAUGCCGAUGCUGCUGUAGAUUAGAAUUAGGAUUCUGGAAUUAAAUUAGGAUUCGAGUAAAAUUGAUGUUGGUUUUGAGUUGCCAUUACAUGUUUAAGGAUGGGGUCGUUGUUAAUUUGGUGAUAUGAAAUUGUUCUGAAGAUGAAUUUGAGAAUUAAGGUUUGUCAUGUUCUUCCACAAUUUUAUGAAUUAGGGUUCUGAAGGUUGAUGAUUAUGAGACUCACACCAGAGACGAAGAGUAGAGUUGGUUUGGCAUAUGUUGUUGGUUUUGAUAUGAUUUAUGAGUCAUGUCAGAGUAAAGAGGAAUCUAAUUCAUUUGCUUGAGUUGAAUUGGUAGAUGUUUGUACAAGUAAAGAAGAAAUCGAAAUCAGUUGCUUGAGAGGAUGUAUCAUGAGGUAAUUGUUUGUUCUCAGUAAAUAUAGUUCGGUUAUCUAUUUUGGUUUUGAGUUUAUGAGAUUACUAGUCAUAUUAGAGUUGAAAUGAGUUACCUGAGAUGAUGUGAUGAAUGUGAAGGUAACUAUUUAGAUGGCUAUAGGGUGUAGCUGGAGUUAUAGUUGGAUUGUAUUGAGUAACAGAUAAUUGUCUUUUGUUGGAAUGACAAUAUGCUUGAGUUACAGGUUGAAUGGUAAUGUUGUAUUACAUGUGGCGUGGUUAUUGGGUUAGAAGUACACAACUUGGAGAUGUUGUGGAUGUAUGAACUGUUGAUAAUGAUUAUAGUGUUGCAGGAAGUUGUGUUGGGAGUUGAAGUACAAGAAUGAAUGUGUUAUGCUGGUGGUGAUGAUAUGAACUGAGUUGAGCAAGGCUGUGAGAGUUAUAAUUGAGUUGUUCAACUGAAGUUGCAGGUGAUGAAGGUUUGAUAAGUGUAUGAUCUUGGAGAUGUUAAGAGAGUUGGAAUGAAUGAGUGAUUGUAGAUAUUAAUGAUAGACAGAAUUGAGAAGUUGCGGUUGGGGAAAGAUUAGUGACUGGAGAAGUAUGAGUUUAAGUAUUGGAACUGUACUGGUGGUGUAUGUAUUGCAGGUCAUGAUAAUUAUUGGAGAAGGUGUUUCUUAGAGCUGCAAUUGCAGUUUCAGAGACAGUCCGGAGUUGCACAACGAAAGCUCUGAGAAGUUGACUUCUUUAGUUGGUUAUAAUCUGAUAUAUUAUUAUAUUGUAUAUUUUAUUUGUAAACCAAAUGAUUAUUGUAUAUGUAUCAUUUGAGAGGAGAUAUUGUAUAUAUAUUUCUGAGCGGGGUUAGUUUUGGGUUAAGUUUGAUAGCAGAUUCCUUAAUUAAAUGUUUAAGUAAUUGAUUUA